GAUAAUUAAUUGACGAGUGCUCUAACACCAGUUUUACAGCAGUUAAAGCAAAAAACUAAGUGCAUGUAAUCAGUUUGAGGAUAAAGAUAAGUGCAUAGAAAUCCACGUUCCUAUAGUUUAGACCAUCUCUUGUAUUGAAAGAAAAAAAAAGGGUAAUACAUGAAAAUAAAUAAUUAACAAAAAUAAAAAAGAAUGGCCGCUGCUGACUAAUCAGCUUCCAACUGUAAUGCUUCCAUUACUCAAUGCAGUGGAAAGGAACUUAACGGUCGACUACCAAAGAGGGUUUUUUCUAUUUUCUUUUGCCUCCAUCCAUUUCCCUUCUUUCUUCCAUCCAAAGAAAAAUAGGAGAAGAAGAGACAGAGACAGAGGCAGAGAGAUCUUCCGUUUGGUUCUCGGGAAAAAUGGUGGCGGCUAACUCUAAGUUAUCAUACGAGAGCUCUUUUCAGCAGUGUUUGGUGGAGGAAAACAGGAAGAAAAUGGAAGCACUCAAUCUGCCUCAGAUUGCUCUGCAGGCUCAUCGAUCCCCUGUUUUUGUUGAGGGAGUAUUGAUGCCUGGAAGGACCUACCACUCUAACAGGCACAAGGAUCAGAAGCUUAGGUAAUUUAUUUCAGAUCAUUCGUGUAGUGGUUGAAUUUACUUAUUGCUUCUUUCUUGUUUUUCUCCAACAUAAAAAUAACAAUUUAUGAUCUGGCUGGUUUCUGUCUCUUGACCUAGUCAACUUAUGGAAACCCAAAAUUCUAUACUUAAGAUACUGUCUCAAACUCUGUUAAUAUUUCUAUCAAGCACAUGGCCUGUCCUGCUGUGAUCAGAUUGGUAGAGGUGAACUCGGUGUAGAAUGGAGCACAUUUAUUCUAGCCAACUCGACUAAGUCUGUAUAUGCAUAAAAACAAUAUAUUUGUCCAGUGAGGUCUCAGAAUUGCACAGCCAUCAAGAUCCACGUAUGCCAUGAGCCUACGUGAUGUCUUUAUCUAUAAAUGAAACAACUUGCAUACGCAUAGAAACCGUGUGCCUUGUAUUGGCUUGACAGAAACUGUGAUGCAAAUGCACCAAAGUGGUCUUCACGUAAGUGAACCAAAUUGCGGUGUAUAGGUCUCUUUCCAAAAUCUAUAUGUAUCCUAUUUUGUCUUCAAAUGGCUUUCUUCCUUGUUUAAUCCUCCUAUCUCCUCCCUCCCUUCUCUGUAUUUCCCUUUUCUCACUCAACCCUUUUACCUUUAGCAGGUAAAACAGUUUUUAUUUUGAGAUAAGACUUAUGUUAAGGUUAGUCGCACACGCGUUUGUGAGUUGAUACUAACAAUGAGGUACAUGUUUUGUUUAAUUGAAAAUUCUACAUAGAUACCAAUUUCAGGUUCUAGGAACAGUUGUAGUUUUGAGCAGAUGAGUCAAUCAUCCUCAAAUCAUAUUUGGUGUCCCUCUAGGGAUAUGUAUGAACACGUGAUGAGCAAAUAUGAAUGGACAGGAGCUAAUUCUUAUCUUUAA